AGCAGCCGCGGUAAUUCCAGCUCCAAUAGCGUAUAUUAAAGUUGUUGCAGUUAAAAAGCUCGUAGUUGAAUUUCGGGGUCAGUAGAUUGGUCAUGCCACUGGUAUGUACUGGUCUCACUGAUUCCUCCUUCCUGAUGAGCCGUAAUGCCAUUAAUUUGGUGUUGCGAGGAAUCUGGACUGUUACUUUGAAAAAAUUAGAGUGUUUAAAGCAGGCUAACGCUUGAAUACAUUAGCAUGGAAUAAUGAAAUAGGACGUUCGAUCUUAUUUUGUUGGUUUCUAAGAUUGACGUAAUGAUUAAUAGGGAUAGUUGGGGGCAUUAGUAUUCAAUUGUCAGAGGUGAAAUUCUUGGAUUUAUUGAAGACUAACUACUGCGAAAGCAUUUGCCAAGGAUGUUUUCAUUAAUCAAGAACGAAAGUUAGGGGAUCGAAGACGAUCAGAUACCGUCGUAGUCUUAACCAUAAACUAUGCCGACUAGGGAUCGGAUGAUGUUAAUUUUUUAAUGACUCA
rnacentral:rRNA from 1 species